CGAUGGCCAAGCACUUUCUUUGACUCUUCAUCUUUAAAUGAAGCAAUCGUAAUUAUUUGGAAAUCUGCCGGCUCCCUUUAAAAGGUAUGCCACAAAUCUGUAUUUUGAGUACAGCGCAGCGCUGGUGUCAUCGCAAAGCUUUUUUGAGAAGAGUUCAGUGAAAGAAACAUGGACGGAUUUCUUGGAACGUGUUUUCUCAUGGCGUAUGCUACGGCAGUCGUGGCCCUGACUAUUGCUCCAAACGUAGCCGAAGCGUUUCCAUCUUUUAUUCUUGAUGCUAUUCUCAAAGCGGGAAGGACCGAAGAAAAGGAGAAUGAGUGAGAAAUCAGCCAUGUGGCUGUGUACGUAAUGUCUUCGCUUAGGCCUAAUAAAACGAAAGAAGAAGAAUUAACGACAGCGUGGAACUAAUAAAUAAAAAAUCUAAACGUC